CCAAUCGUGAUACAUCGGCUAUCUCGGAUUCCUCCGUAAGAUAGGCCUCGUGGCUAACGGUCGCCAUAUUGCCUUGUAUUACUACUUUACUACCCAAAAGGUUGUCAGUCUAUUGUUAUGAGGCUGUAUACGAUGCGCGUUGAACUAGCGCCAAACUUUUUACCGAAACUUUGAUAUAAAUAGCACUAUUAACGUUCAUUUGUGUUGCAUUUUGACCUAUUAUCCAAGUGAUUUACUUUUCCAUUUUUAUUUAAUCACCCUAUCAUCCAAUUUUUAAGAUGAAAUUACGGUGUUUACAAAACCAACCAAACCGAAAGUGAAACUGGAUGCAUUACGUUUCGCGAUGUAAACAUUAAAUAUUUGUUCAGUUUGAGGAAGCGAAUCGAUAAUAGACGUUGAAAUAUGUAUGCAAUACAGACUAUCAUUGCCGAUUGUAGUACUGGCUAAAAAAAUACCUUUUAUGACAGGUUUACUGGAUUAUGAAAGACUGAUAAACAUAAAAUUGACAACUCAUCUCCCCAACGAUACUUUGUGUGGCUCAUUCUCGGAACAAACCCAUAGUCAGUGAGAAAACUACAGUGUAAAAAGACCACUUGAUUGUGACAAUUAUGGCUGACCAAGCAAAUGUUAUCAUUUAAAAUAAAGAAAACUUCCAGUUCAAUAUACAUUUUAUACCAAUUAUGACAUUGGCCAACACAGAAAAUAAUUAUCAGGUUGAUUUUCUCAAAAUUGACUGUUACAAUUGGAUACUGUUUUAAGCUUCACUCUACUUUGUCUGAAAAUAAAAGUCCUUAAUGAUGUAAUAGAAACAUACAUAUUUAAUUUUUAGUUUUACAAGGAUAUAUAUAUAUAUAUAUAUAUAUACAUAUAUUAUAAUAUCUUUUUAUCGAUGGUCAAUCAAUUUAAGUUUAACUAAUAUAUACAUACACAUUUUAUACAUGUGUAUGCUUUGAUUUUUUUUCUAUUGAAGCCAAAUUUAUAUCCUAUUAGAUAGAUAGAUAAUAUCACAGCAGUAUUCCUAGUUUGUCUGCAAGUACUGCAGAAAUCAUGGAUUAUUAUUUUACUGAGUCAGCCUUAAUCUUUAUAUUAUAAUUGUUAAAACAGAUUAAGAUGUGCAUUAUACAAUUUAGGAUGCAUCAAGAUUAAAAAAUGGUACAUGUAUAAAUUAAUAAAGAAUCAAUAACAAUCAGAAACUGUGCAUUUUUUUCAGUAUUGUGUGGAAGGAUUUGAAGUAAUUAUGUGUUUUUGAAAAAUGAUUUAUGUGAAUUUGAAUAAAUAUAUAAAAUUUA